GGUUGUAUUCAGAUCAGAAAGAUUCUUUCAGGUCUCUUCGGGGAGACAGACCCCCAUCGGCUCUACUUCUGCCCACCCCGAUUUUGGGGGGACGGGGCGCAUAGGGAGAGUCCAAGCGGUGGCUUGCCGGAAGAGGACAGUUUGGGACCCGGGAGGGGAGUUCCCUGCGUCUGGGCCGUGGGGGGAGCUGCAGGCCGGCGGGAUGUGGAAAUGAAGACUGUGACAGAUGGAGGUUAUACUUCCUGCCCAGAAGGCUGCCCACUGUGGGCCAGAGCCACAGUCGUUGUAUGGGACAGCGAGAGUGACCUACUGUGGACAAAGCUCUGCUCUGGGCAACUGAGGCAAAGGGCAGAAUCCAAACGAGACUUUCUCUGGCAAAGAUAGCUUCUUGAGGGAUUUUCAAUCUGUUGGAAGAGACAAGUCCACUGUCCUCUGGGAGCUGCCAGUCUGAGAGAGGAGUCUGAGGGUACUAAGGAAAAACCAGCAAUUCCCCUGACCCCUGAUGCCCACAUCCUGCGGGGCACCCACCAGAGGCCUCCACCACCACAUCUCCGUCCUAGAAAGGAGCUCCUGCUGUCCCUGUCCUGGGAAGAAACAGGCGUGGAAUUCCUCUUCCCUGAGUUGCUGGAGCAAAGAACAAGAGAACACCCCGUUUCAGAGGCUAAAGGACUUGGUUGGACACAAAGCCCUGCUGACUUCCAGGACUGAGGACCUCACUUGGAGGGAAAAUUCUCCUGAUGGCAUGGGGGGGGGGGGGCACCUAGAAGCAAGGGGAUGGCUGACGUGAACUCUGAAGGCAUCUUGGAAUUCCUUGCCAUCCCAUUUCCUCUUCAUCGGGGCCAAGCUCGGAGGAUUAUGACAGUGUGGGCAAUAAAAAGUGCCUAAUUGGUUGUUGUCCAGCC